rnacentral:rRNA from 1 species
AGUGAACGCUGGCGGUAGGCCUAACACAUGCAAGUCGAACGGCAGCACAGUAAGAGCUUGCUCUUACGGGUGGCGAGUGGCGGACGGGUGAGGAAUACAUCGGAAUCUACUUUUUCGUGGGGGAUAACGUAGGGAAACUUACGCUAAUACCGCAUACGACCUACGGGUGAAAGCAGGGGAUCUUCGGACCUUGCGCGAUUGAAUGAGCCGAUGUCGGAUUAGCUAGUUGGCGGGGUAAAGGCCCACCAAGGCGACGAUCCGUAGCUGGUCUGAGAGGAUGAUCAGCCACACUGGAACUGAGACACGGUCCAGACUCCUACGGGAGGCAGCAGUGGGGAAUAUUGGACAAUGGGCGCAAGCCUGAUCCAGCCAUACCGCGUGGGUGAAGAAGGCCUUCGGGUUGCAAAGCCCUCUUGUUGGGAAAGAAAAGCAGCAGGUUAAUACCCCGCUGUUCUGACGGUACCCAAAGAAUAAGCACCGGCUAACUUCGUG